rnacentral:rRNA from 1 species
AAAUGAAUAGACGGGGGCCCGCACAAGCAGUGGAGUAUGUGGUUUAAUUCGACGCAACGCGAAGAACCUUACCAGGAUUUGACAUCUCCUGACGGCGCCUGAGAAGGCGUUUCCCUUCGGGGCAGGAAGACAGGUGGUGCAUGGUUGUCGUCAGCUCGUGUCGUGAGAUGUUGGGUUAAGUCCCGCAACGAGCGCAACCCCUAUUGUCAGUUACCAUCAUUAAGUUGGGGACUUUGGCGAGACUGCCGUGGAUAACACGGAGGAAGGUGGGGACGACGUCAAAUCAUCAUGCCCCUUAUGUUCUGGGCUACACACGUACUACAAUGGCAACAACAACGAGCAGCGACACCGCGAGGUCAAGCGAAUCUUCAAAUGUUGUCUCAGUUCGGAUUGCAGGCUGCAACUCGCCUGCAUGAAGUCGGAAUUGCUAGUAAUGGCAGGUCAGCAUACUGCCGUGAAUACGUUCCCGGGCCUUGUACACACCGCCCGU